AUUGGUCAGGGCUUGGACUUUGACCCAAGAACAUGCAUGUGCGUUAAUGUCGUGACGUCACAAGCAUGUUCACGUGACCUUUGUAGGCGGAGCUACAAAUGGCCAUGACCUCGUGGUUGGCGCCAUUUUGGAUCCCGCAUGUGAAGGGGACGGAUGCCCCAGCGGGUCUCUCCCGGCUUGCUGCUGAACAGGUAAGCUCUUAAACCUGUCAGUGUGGUCGCACCGAUCGGGUGCGGCCACGUGCAGCCAUGAGCCAGGGGCCAUGACACUACCCCCAUUUAAAGACUUCCCACUGGGCGGGAAGGAG